CUUGGUUCCGCUGUUGACGUUAAAGCUCGUGACGAGGAAUUUCAGUGCACUCCGAAGACUACACUUUUGCAAGCUUGUUAUUUUUCUGUGACGUACAUAAACAACAUGGCCUUCGUGUGACUUUCGAGGCCGGGGCAAGCUAAACGCAAAUGAACGCGGAAUCCGAAAUGUCGAGAGGAAAGUGCAUGGAACCACCACCAGCUCAAAGUAAAUUUCAUCUCCCGGCUUCAGAAGGUGGAAUAGGAGCAGAGGUGUAAGAACUUGUGGGUGUUAUGAAACUCCGCGCGUCUGUUAUUGUUGACACUGGAUUAAGACUUGGCCUUUACAAGAUACUACGAAAGCAAAAUUAAUUUCACCAGAAUUCGAAGGCCCAAGGAACGUUCCUUACCGAUAAGUGCGCGAAGUUAUUACAAAAGCUCUA